CUUUUCUAUGGAAGCUUGCUUCCACUGAGAAGAUAGUGGCGGACGGGUGAGUAACACGUGGGUAACCUGCCCAUAAGAGGGGGAUAACAUCCGGAAACGGGUGCUAAUACCGCAUAGUUUUCUUGAUCGCAUGAUCGAGAAAGGAAAGACGGCCUUUGUGCUGUCGCAUAUGGAUGGACCCGCGGCGUAUUAGUUAGUUGGUGAGGUAACGGCUCACCAAGACGAUGAUACGUAGCCGACCUGAGAGGGUGAUCGGCCACAUUGGGACUGAGACACGGCCCAAACUCCUACGGGAGGCAGCAGUAGGGAAUCUUCCGCAAUGGACGAAAGUCUGACGGAGCAACGCCGCGUGAGUGAAGAAGGUUUUCGGAUCGUAAAACUCUGUUGUCAGAGAAGAACAAGUCGGAGAGUAACUGCUCCGGCCUUGACGGUAUCUGACCAGAAAGCCACGGCUAACUACGUGCCAGCAGCCGCGGUAAUACGUAGGUGGCAAGCGUUGUCCGGAUUUAUUGGGCGUAAAGCGAGCGCAGGCGGUUCCUUAAGUCUGAUGUGAAAGCCCACGGCUCAACCGUGGAAGGUCAUUGG
rnacentral:rRNA from 1 species